CUGUUUACUUCCUGCGGCUGGAGGAACCUGUGUUGUCGUAUCGGUGAGGAUGGCCCUGGAGACGGUACCAAAGGACCUGCGGCAUCUGCGGGCUUGUUUGCUGUGCUCGUUAGUCAAGACUAUAGACCAGUUCGAAUAUGAUGGGUGUGACAAUUGCGAUGCAUACCUACAAAUGAAGGGCAACAGAGAGAUGGUUUAUGACUGCACCAGCUCUUCAUUUGAUGGCCGUUCAAGGCUGACAAUGAAUGACGAAGCUGGUUGUGUUGAUGCAGCCUUCAGUCCUAGCUCUCAAGCUGAGCAGGGGACACAAGUGUCGGGUAGCCUUCUGCUGCAUCAUGAGACGACGCCCCCAUCUAAAAAUUAAAAUAAUCAUUGCGAUGAUGAGUCCAGAGGACAGCUGGGUCUCCAAGUGGCAGCGAGUCAGUAACUUUAAGCCAGGUGUAUAUGCUGUGUCCGUCACUGGUCGCCUGCCCCAAGGAAUCGUGCGGGAGCUGAAAAGUCGAGGAGUGGCCUACAAAUCCAGAGACACAGCAAUAAAGACCUAGCUAGGUGCAGGCCAUAGCAUCUUGUUCUUCACUUCUGUACUUGUUUUCUUGUGGAACUAAACCGUGGGACCCCAAAGACUCCCCGCCCUCCAUCUCCGAAUCAGCAGACUCCACGAAAGCAGCACAUCGGCCUUAAGUCAUCUCACUUUCUCUGCCCACUGGUGAAGUGGGAGUGUCUGGGCGGAUUCUCAGAGGCUGUGUCAACAGAGGAAGAUGCUGAUUUCCCACCUGUGUUCAGGGUUUUGCCUUUGUCUAUGGGCAGGACUUUGGUUCAAAUACCAAUAAAGCGAGCCUUUGGAACAUACUUAAA